rnacentral:rRNA from 1 species
AUGGAGACGGAGAUGGAGGUCUACUCCGGUGCCCCGAGCACCAAGAGGGCGAGGCUCGGGCCACCGGCGACGCCUUCCUCUCGUGGUUUGGCGGUAGCGGCUGAAAGCGGCGAUGGUGCGCCUACUGGAUCCGAGGAUCAAGAAAAGCAGUCUGGUCCGGACCGCAUCAACGACCUCCCGGACGCCAUCCUCGGUGAGGUCAUCUCCCGUCUGUCCACUAAGGAAGGCGUUCGCACUCAAAUCCUCGCACGUCGGUGGCACCCUGUUUGGCGCGCCGCUCCUCUGAAUCUGGACUGCCGUGAGAUCCCUGUCCCACGUCUUUCUAACCCUCUAGAUCAAGUACAUUUCGAGUUGGUCACCGCGAACUCCGCCACACCAGAGGAAUUCGUCUGCGUAACAUACACUGGAACUUUUUUUAGAGGAGAACAUGUCGGUGAAGAUAAUUCCUAUGAUGAUUCGUACCUUCCAGAGGCCAUCCUCUUUGGGCGUCAGAGCGCAGUUCGCCGCCUCUGCAUUCCGGCGUCCUACCUCCACUGCAGGCACUCCACAGUCGACGACUGGCUUCGAUCCCCAAGACUGAACAAUCUCCAGGAAAUUGUUAUAGAAGAUGCCUCGUCACUUCAACGGUUGCUUUGUGAUGGUGAUUGCAAGAAGUUGCAGAUAGUUAUCACCUCUGCACCUAAACUGCAGGUCAUGGGCAAAUUAUCUAAUAUUUUCUGUGAAUCCAGCGUCACAAAUGACCGUAUAAUUAUUCAGUGUCUUCCGACAGUCAGCACAUCCACAUCGGUUCAUUCUAUCAAGACGUUGUCUAUCAGCAUGGAUUAUGACCUGCACGCAGUCUUUUCCUUGGUGGAACACUUCCGAAGCUUGGAGAACUUGUAUAUCGAGGAAAUAGCCUCUAAUGAAGAAAGUCUUGAGAACGUCUGUUCUUGCAAGCACCAUCAUGACGUUCAUUUGAAGUCACUGACGCUGGAAAGCUAUGUUCAAUGCGAGAAAAGCAUUCGAUUUGCGACAUUCUUCAUUAUCAACGCAGCACAGCUGCAGACUAUGAGGAUCAAGUUUCUUCUUCAGGAAGACUUCACGGAAGAAUUCUACAAACAGCAACAAGACUUGCUUCAGUGGGAUAAAAAGGCUUCUAAACAUGCUUGCCUUAGGUUGUCGCCAAGUUGCAACCACGGGAACUUGGAUCUAAGGCACGCAUGCGUUGAGCACCUGGAUUUAAAGGAUCCAUUCACUUGCCAUCCACUCCUCUUGCUGUUCUCCACCCUGACACUCUCCGCCAUGGCUGUGCAAGAUAACACUACUCCAGAGAGCCGUGUCCUGGCACAGGAGGAAAUCUUUGCUGGCCAGGCUUCCUCAUCUGUGAAGAACCGGUGGGAGGCUACGGAAGCUCACCUCUUGAAGAUCGUGGAGAUAUCCACGAGGUUGUAUGAUCUUCUGGAUGAGAAGACGAAGGCGAAGCUCAAACUUGAGUACGACAAGCUCACGCUGGAGACAUACGUUAUGAUAAAAGAGAGAAAUUGCUGCUUUCCAGGCACGCUCAAACUCGUCUUGAUCUAGUUCUUCCUGAUAUGCCACCAGCAGAACCUGUGCCUUGUUCUCGAAAGAGCUUCCUUUAUUGCAGUCUUCAUCGCCUGGUCCUGAGUCGAUGAGAUGGACUCCACCCCACAGCUGUCGGAGACUCAUUCUCAGUCUGUCGAUGGCACGGAGAUUGUCACCCAAGAUUUCAUGGUUCAUGACCAACUAGAGACAAAGAGACUAAGGAUCGAGUUAAAACGUGCAGCGCACAAAAAGCUUGUUGAGGAGUACAGGACAAAGAAGCAGCUUGCUGCCUCGAAAGCUGCUGCAAUGGGUGAAUACGAAGAAGAGUUCAGCACAAAACUUAGCUUCCAGAAAUUCAUUACUGUCUGUGAAAAGCUAACAGAACCACAAAAGCAGCUUGUCAGAGAUAUUGGUUUUGGAUACCUUCUAGAUCUGUGUUGUCGCGAGCUUCCAAGGUGUUUCGUUCGCUGGCUUGUCCGCUAUUUUGAUUGCCCUUCGAGCCUAGACUACUUAGCCGCUCUAGAAGGACCAGCAAGUAACAUAUCAUCAUAUGAUUGGUCCAAUGUUGUCACACAGAAACUGGUGGCAUCACUCCAGACCUUCAAGGACAAAGGAUUCGCAGGCGCCCUGUGUGGCUGCCUCCUGAUUCCAGUGAUAACGUAUUUUGAGUACCUGGAUACGAAGAUUAUGGACCUGGAACCUGACACUCCUGCAAGACUUGUCAUGUGGGACACAGAGGCCAUUAAGAAUUAUGCUAACAUAGACAGCCUGUCAACAGAGGACGGAAUUUUUGGGAAACACACGGCCAAGAUGAAAAUUGCCAAAGUUAUCAAUGAAAUGUACACAGAACUUUUCUCGCGGUUUCAACCAGUUCUCGAGCAGAAAUUGGAGAAGAUCCUUUCACUUGGUAGGGAUCUUAGUGCAAAAGAAACCAAGACCAGAGACCAGAGCGUUUAUUAAUCCCAGAAUCCGUACGACAAAGAGCAGUCCCAAAUUUGUCUAUCUUCACGCCUAAAAUCAUCAACCCAGAUUAAGUUGCUACUGGAAGUGAACAGGAUCGACCACAACAAAGAGGACAUUGAUGAACAAGCCAAGAUUCAUCUGGACAAAGUGCAUAACCAUCUGCACAACUGCCUUGAUGGCUUGCCGGUCCAUGAGCCCUUCGUGUCAACAUUUGAGAUGCUGGAGAGCGGGGCAAUUAUAGUGACAGGUGAAAAUUCAUUUGAGUGUUCUGUACCGAUUGAAACCCAAAAUUCUGUUGGAGGAUCUGCAGACCACAACUCUCUGACAAGCCCACUGGAAAAACUCUUGGAGGAAACAGCAAAACCUACUGCAACAAAAACAUCAGCCUCGCACUCUGUGGUUGACAAACAAUUACUGACUGAUCCAAUCUCAACAGAUACACUUGGAGCACCUGUUUAUCACAUUGGGAAAACGUCACCAACUACUGCACGGUCCAGCGGUUCUGACAGCGCUCACAACAACUCUUCAACCAACACAAAGAGCCUCAUUGUAUCCCAGCCUGCACAAAAAUCAAACAAUGUCACUGGACAACAUUCUUCUUCGCUGCCGGAAGAUAAGCAUCUGUCAAUGCAGAAGACAAUAACAUUGCAGAAGAACAUGAAUAGUGUACAAAGCAACCACCUAUUGAUCCCACAGACAGCGUCCCUAUUACCACAAGCGCACAUCCGCCAGAACCGGAACCACAAAUGGCAGGUCACAAGAGGUCCUUACAGCAGUCAGAAGAUCCAGGUCUUAAUACCUGUGAGAAAGGAUCCACAUUUUAUCUACCUCAUCAUCGUGAAUCUUGCAAUGUGCCACUUCGAAAUUCUGUGUCCUUAUAUCAAUUGCGACGGUAUAAAGGAACACUCGGACAUUGUCAUCGAAAACUUCAAGAGAGCUUACCAUUCUGCUUACAACAACUAUCCUCACACCAUGGCCUCCUUUCAUGUCAAACCUGUGCAGAGUGUAUGUAACUCAGACAGAUAGGAUGACAGUGCUAUUUACACCAUGCAUUUGAUGUCGCUCAUUAAUUUGAAUAAUAAUUCAUUUUUUAUAAAUAAUAUCCAUGUGAAACCGAUGAGAGAACAACUAACUUACAAAAUGAUAACAUCCAACUACAACACAGGCCAUGUAUUUGAGGCACUGAGCAUCGCCCUCGACAAGCACAAUAUCCGGCGCGAAAGAAGAAGAGUUGGAAGAAGAUGA